rnacentral:lncRNA from 1 species
GACAACAGUGAACAGCGACUGAGGGGCUCAAGUGAAGCCACCGGAGCUCUCCAUCUCUUGGUUUUUACCUCUCUCUGCAGGCUCUGUUCUCACUCGUGGCUGAUGGGCAAAGGCGGCUACGGAGGCACAGCUACGUGCAGAUGUCCUUACAGCUUUGCAACCCUCAAGGAAAAAGAGAUGUGGAUUUUAUGGAAUAGGUGCUACGUGGAGGAAUCCUGAGUCAUGGCCAAACAGCAAAUGCCAGCAAGAGUAGAGUAGGAGGCAUUUCUGUGUACACUUUGGGAAAAAGUCCAUUCCUCACUUGGUUUCAUUCCUGGCCUGAGCCACUGUGUCCUCCACCUGAAGCCCUAACCUCUCCAUUACUGACUGGAUCCCAAUGUGCCACAGUUCACCUGCAUGAGGAGGGGUCAAAGACAAGAAAACUGAAAGUGAGAGGCUAA